UCAAGAGUAUUUCUCUGUAUUUUCACCAAAUACUGACUUAAAUUGAUUUUCUUUUGCAGAAUUCUCUACAUUUGGCGCAACAGCUCAAAUGGAAACUAGAGCACAAGAUCAGAAUGAAGCUCCCACACAUGGCCUUAUGACUGUUGCCCCAGCGAAGAACCCGCAGUCCAGCCUCCCCCACUCAAGACAUGCCUGAGACAAGAGUGACUGUAUUCCAAGUUGAACAAUGCACGGGAGGCCUGUGAAUUUGGCCAGUGUGAUUUGGAACUGUAUAGUACAUAAUAAGACUCUAUUGAGCUCUUAUAACCUUAUUAAAUAGCUAACAUGGAAAGCAUUUUUGAAAAUUAA